AAACUUUCAACAACGGAUCUCUUGGCUCUGGCAUCGAUGAAGAACGCAGCGAAAUGCGAUAAGUAAUGUGAAUUGCAGAAUUUAGUGAAUCAUCGAAUCUUUGAACGCACAUUGCGCCCCUUGGUAUUCCGAGGGGCAUGCCAGUUCGAGCGUC
rnacentral:rRNA from 1 species